CCGCGCGGGGUCCGGAUCGGCUUCGGGCCGCGCGCUCUUAUUCAGGCGCCCGGGGCCACACCUCUGGGCUCCGCCUUCCCCAGCACUGCCCGGGUAGGGGCGGCCCUCUGGCGCCCUCCCACGGUGGGGAAUGUAGUGCCCGGCCUGCAGGGGUCGCGCGGGCUGGAUGCCGGGGUCCGAGCGUCUCCCGGGCAGCCACGCACGCGCCGGCCCAGCGCACCGGUGAGUGCGGUGAGCCGGGUGCGCGAGUGCGCGCACGACCCGCCCGCCCCAGCCUGCAGGCCCGCCUCGCUGCUGGGGGAAGGUUGGGUCCGAGACGCCCGCGGUGCCCCUCCUGGCCGCGCGGAGCGCCGGCGCUGCCGGUUAAAGUGUAGCGGGGCUGGGCCGGGCCGCCGGCGCCAGCUCCUCCGACUCCGCCGCCGACCGUCCCGGCACUCAGACCGACCUGCCCACGGCACCCCCUACCCUUCAGCUUUGAAAGUAGCGAAUCCAGUCAGCUGUUGAUGGACCUGAACGUGAAGCAUCCCCGACAGGUGGUGUUUGGCCUCCAGGUAAGGGAAGCUGUGCUCAGCAGCCACUGACUGCCACCCGCAGUCUGACCAUGGACACAUGUGAGCGUCUUCAUUUGAGAUGCUGUCUGUUCCUCCGUUUCCUGGCACAGUCUUGUCUUAAGCGCUUUCAGUUUUUCCCCCUGUUCACCGGCUGUUUGCUGAACACAGUGUAUCCCUUUGUUUUCUGUUUGUGUCUAUGUUCCUUUGCCUUUUUCUCAUCUUAGACGCUUUCCAGAUUUCUUCUUGAUGCAGUUCUGGUGGGCUGUAUGUUUCUAGGAAGUUGUCAGUUUCUUCUAGGUUGUCAAAUUUGUUGGCAUUUAAUUGUUCAUACUAUUCUCUUAUUUAUUUUUAAUU
rnacentral:lncRNA from 1 species